UAGUCCUAGCUGUAAACGAUGGCCACUAAGUAGGGGAACUCCAAAGGUUUCCCUGCCGUAGCUAAUGUAUUAAGUGGCCCGCCUGGGGAGUAUGGUCGCAAGGCUGAAACUCAAAGGAAUUGACGGGGGCUCACACAAGCGGUGGAGCAUGUUGUUUAAUUCGAUGCAACGCGAAGAACCUUACCUGGGCUUGACAUGUAUGUGGUAUCAAACCGAAAGGGGCGAGACCUACUUUGUAGGAGCAUACACAGGUAUUGCACGGCUGUCGUCAGCUCGUGUCGUGAGAUGUUGGGUUAAGUCCCGUAACGAGCGCAACCCUUGUCCCUAGUUGCUAACGGGUUAUGCCGAGGACUUUAGGGAGACUGCCGGUGUUAAACCGGAGGAAGGCGGGGACGACGUCAAGUCAUCAUGGUCCUUACGCCCAGGGCUACAAACGUGCUACAAUGGCGGGUACAAAGGGAAGCGAGAUCGUGAGAUGGAGCAAACCCCAAAAAGCCCGCCCCAGUUCAGAUUGGAGGCUGAAACUCGCCUCCA
rnacentral:rRNA from 1 species